AGAUCUGAUCAGAUCUGUGAGCUGGAGAAGGAACCGGCUGAAGAUGAGGAGUGCGGACAGAAAACACAACACGGCAGACGGGAGCAUUGGUGGCUGGAUCAACAGCUCAUAGAGAAACUCCCACUCAACCUUAAGAAGGCGUUGUGUGAGGCCUGCAGGAAGACACACACGGCUGGUGGUCUUUUAUCCCUCGUGACCGAGUACCUGCCAAAGAUCCCCCGGAUCCUCUCCCCGUCGACUCGGCCUACUCUCUUGCUCAGAGACUUGUAAACUGGAUUCCAGAUGUACCAAAGGAUGUGGGCUGGCUCUACGGCAAGGCUGAUAACAUUUACAAACACGCUUGGAAAGGCAAAGUGGAGGAGUCUAACAGUGAGACACCACUACACAGAUGUAAACACCUCCCAUCAGUCCUGAACCUGCCGCAUCUGACACAAGAAGACUCUCUCCCAAUGACUCCAGAAGCCACUCCCACCUCCGGUCUUACCUUCACCUGGAAUGAACAGAAUGAGCUGGACCUCAUGCCCUUGACUCCACCGGCUACACCCGCCUGCAGCCCCACCCCCGGGUUUGAUGAAGUCUCUGCAGAGUCACCUGAAACAGAAGAUAGAGGGUGGGGUUUGGGCAGAGCUGUGGGGUGGAUCAGAUAUAUUGCACUAGAGAACUUUAAACCUCAAGAAAACAGAGGAUUCAGCACCCUGCCCUGUGUUCAAAUAAUGAAUUCUUUAAUAUGCAUUGAAAGAGAAGAAGUGAAAAUAAACGUUGAAUAAAGGAAUGCCAAAAAAAA